rnacentral:tRNA from 1 species
UAGCUCAGUCGGUAAAGAAUCUGCCUGCAACGCAGAAGACCCAGGUUCGAUUCCUGG